rnacentral:lncRNA from 1 species
GAAGAUAGCUGAUCCUAUCUUCCUAUAUUGGUAGGAAAUGGAUCGAAGAUGCAGAUCUUGUCUUCCCAUAUUGGUGGCGAAGUAGAUCGAAGAAAGCAGAUCUUGUCUUCAUGUAUUGGCGUGAAGUAGAUCGAAGAUAGCUGAUCCUAUCUUCCUAUAUUGGUAGGAAAUGGAUCGAAGAUGCAGAUCUUGUCUUCCCAUAUUGGUGGCGAAGUAGAUC